AGUCAACGGAAGCCCCUGCAAUCGCUAGCGGCACCGGCGCGGCGGGGACUUCCUGGUUACCGUGGCCAGAGUCCCACAGGGGGAGUUUGUGGUGCGUCUGAGGGAGAGAGCAAUAGCGCCACCACAAAUCAUCACCAGCCUCUUCAGAGACAGGCCUCCACUCAGAUAAAGACUUCCAGCAUCUCUGUUACGGCCCAGGCUGACAGUACUCUAGAACCCGGUUCUACCAUCUCUGUCCCCUUCAGCGUGCAAUGGCCAACGGAACAGGAGGAACUUUUACCGUCCGAGCCACGAACGACCGCGGUUCACCUCCUCCUUCCCCGCCAGUGUGUCCGUUGUGACCGGAGGCGGAGCGCGCCAACGGUACGGUGACUCUCACGGCGCCCGCCAGCACCCCAUCGGGAACGGACGUCACCCUGACCAUCGAGGCAGAGUCCGCCUGGAGCAGCAGACUUGAACUACGCCAUCCUGCGUCUCUCUGUUUUCAGCAAGGUGACAGAUUUCCACUCCCCCAGUGUGGGGUGGUCAGU